rnacentral:rRNA from 1 species
AUUGAACGCUGGCGGAAUGCUUUACACAUGCAAGUCGAACGGCAGCACGGGGGCAACCCUGGUGGCGAGUGGCGAACGGGUGAGUAAUACAUCGGAACGUGCCCGGUCGUGGGGGAUAACGUAGCGAAAGUUACGCUAAUACCGCAUACGAUCUGAGGAUGAAAGCGGGGGACCUUCGGGCAUCGCGCGAUCGGAGCGGCCGAUGUCAGAUUAGGUAGUUGGUGGGGUAAAGGCCUACCAAGCCGACGAUCUGUAGCUGGUCUGAGAGGACGACCAGCCACACUGGGACUGAGACACGGCCCAGACUCCUACGGGAGGCAGCAGUGGGGAAUUUUGGACAAUGGGCGCAAGCCUGAUCCAGCCAUUCCGCGUGCAGGACGAAGGCCUUCGGGUUGUAAACUGCUUUUGUAUGGAACGAAAAGGCUCUGGCUAAUACCUGGGGCUCAUGACGGUACCGUAAGAAUAAGCACCGGCUAACUACGUG